GGUGCAGGACAGGCGAUCGCGGCCGCAAGUGGGGAAACCCCGCGGGUGAGGAAAGUCCGGGCUUCAUAGGGCAAGGAUGCCGGUUAACGGCCGGUGGAGGAAACUCUAAGGAUAGUGCAACAGAAAAGAAACCGCCAGCGCUUGCGCUGGUAAGGGUGGAAUGGCAGUGUAAGAGACUACCGCGCUUUUGGUAACAAAAGUGGCAGUGUAAACCCCAUCCGAAGCAAGACCGAAUCAAAGCAAUGAUGUGGCCCGCUAGCUUUAGGUAGGUUGCUUGAGGCGACUGGCAACAGUCGUCCUAGAUAGAUGAUCGCUCAACGACAUAACCCGGCUUAUCGUUCUGCUUAUAUG
rnacentral:RNase_P_RNA from 1 species